CGGUACUUGUCGGGGUGCCCCUGUGGGGGCUGAGAUCGGCCGAGGCCGGGUCCCGUUGAACCUGAUCAGGGUGACGCCUGCGUAGGGAACAAGACGUCCUCGCUG
rnacentral:ncRNA from 2 species